GGGUCUGGUUCAGGGACUAAGAUCUGCCGUGCAAUUGCUUGAAAUGGAAGGAACCGUGGCCCUUCAACAUCGCUGUUAGCCACAAAGAGCUGGUGAACGUCCGGAUCAGAAGCUGUCACCUUCAGGACCACAUAUCUGCUUUAUAAAAGGGAACAAGAGGACUUCCCAUUUCCUGAACCUGCUGUCGUGUUCGUGGAGUUCAGAUAUUCUCCACAUCAAGAUUCUAUGGAGAAAUUUGUUUUUCUAAUCCUUAUAUUAGCAAUGAAAAGACAACUGACAUCCCCGGCAUUUUGGAUAAGAGCUUCUGUCAGCACAUUCUUCUCUCCUUUCAGGUCCCGAGCAGCGGUGUUUGCCCCUGCUUGCUCCAGGGCUGUGCAGCACGCAGCUCCGGCAGCGGCUCGCUGGGACGGAUACGUGAAGGUGAUCCCAGGAGCUGCCCGUACGGAUUUCCUCAGGAGGCAUGAGCAGGGGUUUCCAGAUACUGACCCUGGGAAUGUAAUCAAUUAUAAAAUCAAUGGAACACAUGGAACUUGGGAUCACAUUCUGAGCACGCCAGGUUUUGGAGGAUUCUGGCUGUGUCGGAAAAUUUGUUAAUCGCGUGAUCGGAUGGCGAAACCUAAUGGGAAUUAGCAUCGGCUCUUCGCCGAUUUUUGUCAUUUGAGUAGUUUCUUCUGUGAAGAAUCUAGAAAGGAUCUUUUCUUUUACUUCACCACACCUGCCUCGGUGGUGUACCGCUGUCUCGCCGUGGGUUGUACUUCCGCCUUACCUCAAAUCAGCGACAG